rnacentral:rRNA from 1 species
CCUACGGGUGACAGCAGUGAGGAAUAUUGGUCAAUGGCCGGAAGGCUGAACCAGCCAUGCCGCGUGAAGGUCAGUGCCCUAUGGGCGUUAAACUUCUUUUGUGCGGGAGCAAUAAUGGUCACGUGUGGCCAGACGAGAGUACCGUACGAAUAAGCAUCCGCUAACCUCGUGCCAGCAGCCGCGGUAAUACGGGGGAUGCAAGCGUUAUCCCGAUUUUUUGGGUUUAAAGGGUGCGUAGGCUGUGAGGUAAGUCAGCGGUGAAAUGCCCGCGGUCAACGGGGUGAAGUGCCAUUGAUACUGGCUGGCUUGAAUGCGGAUGCGGUAGGAGGAAUGUGUGGUGUAGCGGUGAAAUGCAUAGAUAUCACGCAGAACACCGAUUGCGAAGGCAUCUCACGAAUCCGCGAUUGACGCUGAUGCACGAAAGCGUGGGUAUCAAACAGGAUUAGAUACCCGUGUAGUC